GAUGAACGCUGGCGGCGUGCUUAACACAUGCAAGUCGAACGGUGAAGCCAAGCUUGCUUGGUGGAUCAGUGGCGAACGGGUGAGUAACACGUGAGCAACCUGCCCUGGACUCUGGGAUAAGCGCUGGAAACGGCGUCUAAUACUGGAUAUGAGCCUCUUCCGCAUGGUGGGGGUUGGAAAGAUUUUUUGGUCUGGGAUGGGCUCGCGGCCUAUCAGCUUGUUGGUGAGGUAAUGGCUCACCAAGGCGUCGACGGGUAGCCGGCCUGAGAGGGUGACCGGCCACACUGGGACUGAGACACGGCCCAGACUCCUACGGGAGGCAGCAGUGGGGAAUAUUGCACAAUGGGCGAAAGCCUGAUGCAGCAACGCCGCGUGAGGGAUGACGGCCUUCGAGUUGUAAACCUCUUUUAGCAGGGAAGAAGCGAAAGUGACGGUACCUGCAGAAAAAGCGCCGGCUAACUACGUG
rnacentral:rRNA from 1 species